GCCCCGGUGGCCUAGGGGUAAGGGCGCCCCCCUGGUAAGGGGGAGGUCGCGGGUUCGAGUCCCGCCCGGGGCUCCA
rnacentral:tRNA from 1 species